rnacentral:lncRNA from 1 species
AUGAAGGCAGCGAGGGAAGAGGAGGUCGGCAGGUUGGAGUAUGAUGGGGUGCAGGCCUGGGACGACACCCCCACAGGAUUAGGGCGAGCACGUUAUGCCAGGCCUCAGAACCAUGGGGGUCGAUCUGAAACCUUAAGUUACGACACGAGAAUAAACACAUUUCGAUAUAAGCAAACGAAGCGCCGACACCCCGGAGUAGAUUCUGAGCAUACCAAGGAAGAGAUGCCUUUGAAAAGACAGAUGUUCCCGGCUUCAACCUGCCUCCUGCCCAAACCUCUGCCCUCCUUCCAUUGUAUAUUUAUUCUCGCUCUAUAAAUAACUGACUGGUAAUGCGCAGGGGAAAAAAAAAAUGGAACUGAUGCGCAGCUGACCUCCGUGAGCCUCUCAUCUCUGCAAGUUUGGAAACGCUGGAGAGGAGUUAGUUGAUACAGUCACGGCAGAAGGAUUUGGCCGAGGGGACGCGAGGAGCUGGGCCGCUUUUGUCCACAUAAGGACUAGUCUAGAUGUCUGGACUGGCUCAGAUGACUUAUGUAACAGCAGAAUGAGGUCCUGGUUGAUGAGGAGCACCACUAAUCAAAUAUAUACUGGUUAUAUUCU